AUAGGUAGAACUCAACUCACAGGCAGGACAGAGAGAGAGAGAGACCCAGUGAAGACCUUUGAAGAUCUCUGAAGAAGUGAAGCUACAACUGAAGACUUCAGAAGACUAUCACCAUGGUAGCAUUGACCAUCCUUCUGCUUGUCAGCACAGCUUUUGCUCUGGGAGACACCUUUGUUCCCAUAGAUGGUAUCAUACAACUCAAGACCCGCUGUGAGCGUGCUCGAGAUGCCGCGCUAAGGCGCCCAAUUGGAACCUUCAUCCCCACGUGUGAUGACGAUGGACAAUACACCCCUGAGCAAUGUUCCGGCUCUACAGGUUACUGUUGGUGUGUCACCAGAACAGGACAGAAGAUCCCGGGUACUGAGACUCCACCAGGCACUGCUACCAACUGUUAGCAACUUCUAGCCAACUUCUAGCCACUUGUUCACCAAGAUGUGGACAGAGAUGAAAAGCGUUGGAACGAAGACGUUGAAGACUUUGACAGUUGUCUUUACUGUACUACAGGACCUGAUUCACAUUCUAUACAAAUAAAUGAAGAAAUCCAGAGUUUAAA